rnacentral:rRNA from 1 species
CUACGGGACGCUCCAGUGGGGAAUAUUGCACAAUGGGGGAAACCCUGAUGCAGCAACGCCGCGUGGAGGAUGACGCAUUUCGGUGUGUAAACUCCUUUUAUAUAGGAAGAUAAUGACGGUACUAUAUGAAUAAGCACCGGCUAACUCCGUGCCAGCAGCCGCGGUAAUACGGCGGGUGCAAGCGUUACUCGGAAUCACUGGGCGUAAAGCGCGCGCAGGCGGCCCCUUAAGUUGGAUGUGAAAGCCUACGGCUUAACCGUAGAACGGCAUCCAAAACUGAGGGGCUAGAGUCUGGGAGGGGAAGAUGGAAUUAGUUGUGUAGGGGUAAAAUCCGUAGAGAUAACUAGGAAUACCAAAAGCGAAGGCGAUCUUCUGGAACAGUACUGACGCUGAGGCGCGAAAGCGUGGGGAGCAAACAGGAUUAGAUACCCCGGUAGUC